CAUUAUUGGGUCCUCGCUGAUGAGAACAACGUCUCACUCACUUUGCUCUACUCUACUCAACUGCUUUCUCACCAAACGGAGACUAGCACACUCGAAUCGGAAUUUGGAAUUCAGGGAAUUCGUCUCUCUAACCUUUUCCUUUUUCUCUUUUUAAGGGAGGGGGAGAGAGAGAAUUACAGAGGGGAAGGAAAGGCAAACAAUUUAUUGUAUUUUUGGUAUUCUCUGUAAACGUUUUGGUAUUGUUUAUAUAUAUAGAGAGAGAGAUGGGUUUGAACUUUGAAUAGAAUAAAAAAGGGUCUCUUUCUUCAUCAUCCGCAAACACCUUCGAAACAGCUGCAGAGAUUUUUUCUGCUUUUGAGGUCUCGCCGUCUUUGGGGGUUCCGCACUGCCAUUUCUCUGUACAAUUUGGUGGCGCAUUGAAAGCGGAGCUUUUACUGAGCUGACUCAGCUGAGUUUGGUUCUAAAUUUCUAAUUAAAGGAACGCGGAGAGACCCAGAUUUUGCCCCCAUUAUUUCGACGCAUUUAAGGCUCUCUCUCCCGCUGCGAAAUCUUGGGAUGAAGAAUUCUUAUUGCCCUUCCUUCAACCGUACCACCAACCUCCACUCGUUCUUCCUCUGAAGCCGCUAAUUUUGUCAUUCUGAAAACAAGGCCAAAAGGUGAUAAUACUGCCAUUUUGUGUGGAACACAGAUCUGUGGUUACUUAAUCCUCUAGCGAAAGAGACCUCUCGAGGAAGGAAGUUGAAAGUGCUACUGAGUUUGCGUUUCCUUUUUGGUUUUCUCUCUGCAGUCUUGUUCGUGAGAAACAUAUCUACCGGGAUUUCGACGUUGCCUUCGGAGAAAAACGGAGACAAUGUUGCCUCAGAGGCAAGCAGAGGAAGCCAUAGUCCCCAACAUUAGUGAGACAGAGCAGGAGGGAAAAGAUGAAGAGGUUGCGGAAGAGCAUUCUUUGUUUAGCGUCAAGAGCAUGCUCUGGCAUGGUGGCUCCGUCUGGGACGCCUGGUUCAGUUGCGCAUCCAACCAAGUUGCUCAAGUCCUCUUAACGCUACCUUACUCGUUCUCUCAACUGGGUAUGCUAUCGGGGAUCCUGCUUCAGUUAUUCUAUGGAAUCAUGGGAAGCUGGACGGCUUAUCUGAUUAGCGUACUCUAUAUAGAGUACAGAAGCCGGAAGGAGAAAGAAAAUGUCAGCUUCAAGAACCAUGUGAUACAGUGGUUUGAAGUGCUUGAUGGCCUACUGGGUCCUUACUGGAAAGCAGUGGGGCUUGCUUUCAACUGCACUUUCCUUGUAUUCGGCUCUGUGAUACAGCUUAUAGCCUGUGCAAGUAACAUAUACUACAUCAACGAUAAUUUGGACAAACGGACUUGGACCUAUAUUUUUGGUGCUUGUUGUGCUACUACAGUGUUCAUACCUUCAUUUCAUAACUACCGGAUUUGGUCUUUUCUCGGUCUUGGAAUGACCACCUAUACAGCUUGGUACUUGACCAUAGCUGCUUUUGUUCAUGGGCAGGUAGCGAAUGUGGAACAUUCCGCUCCAAAAAAACUAGUGCUAUACUUCACCGGAGCCACCAACAUACUCUACACGUUCGGAGGCCAUGCUGUCACUGUGGAAAUCAUGCACGCUAUGUGGAAGCCCCAGAAAUUCAAGUACAUAUACCUGAUAGCAACCUUAUAUGUUUUCACACUAACCAUUCCCUCAGCGUCUGCGGUUUAUUGGGCUUUUGGAGAUCAGCUCCUCAAUCAUUCCAAUGCCUUCUCUCUCCUACCCAAAUCUGGCUUCCGUGAUGCCGCUGUUAUCUUGAUGCUUAUCCAUCAGUUUAUAACAUUUGGAUUCGCAUGUACGCCGCUGUACUUUGUGUGGGAGAAGGUGAUAGGGAUGCACGAUACAAAAAGCGUAUGUUUAAGGGCACUAGCAAGGCUACCAGUGGUUAUACCCAUAUGGUUCUUGGCAAUAAUAUUCCCAUUCUUUGGACCUAUUAACUCUGCUGUUGGGGCUCUUUUGGUUAGCUUCACCGUCUACAUUAUUCCUGCUUUAGCCCAUAUGCUCACCUACAGAAAAGCCUCUGCUCGACAGGUAUAAAUAAAACAUCUUUUUACCAUAUCUUUGAUUUCUUUAGACUUUCACUCACUUUUUACACCUUCUCCACUAGGCCACACUCUUAUCUGAAAAUGGCUUUAAAUUGACAUCAUUUCAUAGAGUUGGAUAUGACACAAACAUGUUCUCAUGAACACAAAUUGUCAUCUCUGAUGAGCACCCUAUUUGAUGGGCAUUCCCACAUUCCAUGGUUGCAAGAGUGUGCAGCCUGUGUACAAAAGCAUUUAUUGCUCUGAUUUGGAUAUAUUACUAGAAAGACAUGAAAUAGGUGGCAUGUCGCUUUCGUUUUAGUUAUAAGCUGUAGUCGGAGUAUUGUACUAUAUAUAUAUAUAUAUAUAUAUAUAUUAUAUCUAAAGAUGAGCUGGCUGACUUGACUAACUUGUUUUCAAUAAUUCAGUUUGGACCAUAGCCUCCAUAAUCAAUCUGUCAAAGAAAGUCAUGACCAACCUCUUAAAUUAGUUUGAUGGUAGAAUAAUCUCAUCUGGCGUCUUCUUUUUCUGUCAAGAUCUAUCUGUCUUUGAGGAAAGUCCAGUGGGGUAUUUGAAUAUUGUGAUUGAAGUUGAGAUUAUCUUUG